GACGAACGCUGGCGGCGUGCUUAACACAUGCAAGUCGAACGUGAUUUUUGUGGAAAUUCUUUCGGGAAUGGAAAUGAAAUGAAAGUGGCGAACGGGUGAGUAACACGUGAGCAACCUACCUUACACAGGGGGAUAGCCGUUGGAAACGACGAUUAAUACCGCAUGAGACCACAGAAUCGCAUGAUAUAGGGGUCAAAGAUUUAUCGGUGUAAGAAGGGCUCGCGUCUGAUUAGCUAGUUGGAAGGGUAAAGGCCUACCAAGGCGACGAUCAGUAGCCGGUCUGGGAGAAUGAACGGCCACAUUGGAACUGAGACACGGUCCAAACUCCUACGGGAGGCAGCAGUGGGGAAUAUUGCACAAUGGGGGGAACCCUGAUGCAGCGACGCCGCGUGAGCGAAGAAGGUUUUCGAAUCGUAAAGCUCUGUCCUAUGAGAAGAUAAUGACGGUAUCAUAGGAGGAAGCCCCGGCUAAAUACGUG
rnacentral:rRNA from 1 species